ACCUGGUCCUUCACGUGGGAGGGCAGCCCUUGGAUGCUGGACCCCAGCGAGGCACAGGUGUUCUGCAGCUGCUGGGCAAUGUCGCGGAACAUGGUAUCUACCCAAGAGAAAUGGAGACACGCGACCGUACACGGGCUGGGGCUGGUCACAGGACGUGAUCCACAGGAGGCAAAAGUGGAGACAACCCAGAAGCCCAUCAACUUGUAAACGGGUAAACAAAACCCACACAGGGGAACGUCACUGGGCCUCGAGCAGGAGCGAGGCGCCCACCCCUGCUGCCCCGCGGUCGGACCCUGAACACACGACCCUCAGGGAGGGAACCAGACACGGGAGGCCCCACAGAAUGUGAGACGGCCAGAACAGGAAGGGGGUUCGUGGGUGCUGGGGACAAAGAGCGUCUGCUAAAACGGGGACAAGAUCUCCUUUGGGGUUGGUGGGAACGUUCUAAAUGCACUGUGGCGAUGUUCGCACAGCCCUGUGAACACGCGAAAAACCACUGAAUCAUCUGCAUGGGUGAACUGUAUAGCAUGUGAAUUAUAUCUCAAUAAAGCUUUUUUUUUUUUUUUUUU